UUAUUUUUGUUGACGGUUACAUAACCUUGCUGUUGAAGGUCACUAAUUAUGCAAUAUUUUAACCAACUGUGAGCCUGUGUUUAUGAUCAGUACAAUCUUUCGUAAAUGUAACGGUUACUCAUCGAUAAUUUUGGAUGAUUCACUUCUAAAAAUCGGUGCGUUCCGUUUGUUCAUUCUGUUACUUCUGCUACAAAUAAUGGCCGAUUCAGAACUACUACAAGUUGUGACGGGCAAUUCGAAGUUUGCCAAUAAGUUUUACAAUAUUCUCGCCGAAGAGGAAAAGGGGAAAAAUGUCUUCUUUUCUCCAAUUAGUGCACAUAUUGUACUCAGCAUGGCCUAUCAGGGUGCCGCAGGAACUACCGCCGACGCCUUUUCGAGCAGCCUGCACCUCGGCAACGAAAAUAUAGCGGCAACUGGCUACCAUCACGUAAUGAGCUCGCUGAAUAGCAUAAAAGACGUCAAGUUACACAUUGCGAAUAAGAUCUAUGUUAUGCAAGGCUUUCCCUUAAAAGAAAAAUUUUUAAAAAGCGCAAGUGAGUUAUUCCUUUCUGAAACUGAGUCGCUCAACUUCGCUGAAAGUGAGAAUAGUGCUAGAAAAAUCAACGGUUGGGUUGAAGGCAAAACAAAUUCGAAAAUCAAAGAUUUAAUCGAUGCGGGUUGUUUGGACGCAUUGACCCGACUCGUACUUGUUAACGCAAUUUAUUUCAAAGGCAAUUGGGCCCAACAAUUCAAAAAAGAACACACUAUGAAAGAGAAGUUUUAUAUAUCUGAAGCAGAAAGUGUUGACUGCCACAUGAUGCACCUCACUAGGCGUUUUAGGUAUCGCGCUGAUGAUCACUUACAAGCGCAAAUUCUAGAAAUGAAAUAUACAAACGAGAAUAUCAGCAUGGUUAUAAUUUUGCCUUUUAAACGAACUGGGAUCGAAGAAUUGGAGAAAAAAUUGGUAGAUGUUGAUUUUGCAACUCUUUCGGAGGGUAUGCGAAGUAUGGAAGUUGAGGUUUCCUUGCCGAAAUUUAAAGUUGAAACUACUAUGGAUUUGCAGUCUAUUUUAACACGGAUGGGUCUCGGAGUGAUUUUUGAUCAAAUGAAGGCAAACUUUUCCGAGAUUUCCAACAGCGAUGAGCAGCUAUACGUCAGCAAGGCCAUUCAGAAAGCAUUUAUUGAGGUCAACGAAGAAGGAGCCGAGGCUGCUGCAGCUACCGGUUUAGUGAAGAGAGCGAAAUGCAGUGAUCCUCCGCCAAUACAAAGAAUAAGUUUUAUCGCUGAUCAUCCUUUUAUUGCUACAAUUUCGUCAUGCCUAUCGGAUUCCAUUCUUCCACUGUUUUGGGGCAGGAUAAUGGAACCUGAUUACAUGGAGAGCAAUUAGCGCCCAACUGUUAAACGACCACCAGAUGGUGUACUUGAAAGCAAAGCAAGUUGUGUUAUAUGUAUGGUCAUUAGCAUGAGAUGCGCUCUUCGCAUGCAGCCUCAAAAAAUUAGCUUUAUUGCAGACCAUCCAUUUUUUGUGAUCCUGCAAUCAGAUUGUGAACCAGCGCUUAUAACAUUGUUUUGUGGGAAAAUAGUGACCCCAACGUGCUAGAAAUUGGAUUGUAGUAAUAGCAUCCAUUGUAGUAAUAGCAUCCACCAACCAAUAAGUUGUUUACCCAGCUCCGUGUAACAGAAUUAACAAGCAACCUUUCUACAGGAUUAUUAGUUAUGCGGUAUAUUCUUUACUAAUGGGUUUCCACAUCUAUGCAAAUGCUUCAUAUUAUAUUGAUUGUUACUCCUCAUGCUGGUACGAGGUGUCAUCAUGGCUUUCAAGUGUGCACGUCCCAUGAAUCUACCAAAAGUUAGCUUUAUUGUGGACCAUCCAUUCUUUGUCCUUCUACAAUCUGAGUGUGAUCCAGCACCGAUAUCGCUGUUUUGUGGAAGAAUAAUGGAACC